rnacentral:rRNA from 1 species
UACGUAGGGUGCAAGCGUUUAAUCGGAAUUACUGGGCGUAAAGCGUGCGCAGGCGGUUUUGUAAGUCUGUCGUGAAGCCCCGGGCUCAACCUGGGAAUUGCGAUGGAGACUGCAAGGCUUGAAUCUGGCAGAGGGGGGUAGAAUUCCACGUGUAGCAGUGAAAUGCGUAGAGAUGUGGAGGAACACCGAUGGCGAAGGCAGCCCCCUGGGUCAAGAUUGACGCUCAUGCACGAAAGCGUGGGGAGCAAACAGG